UCCCAGAAGGACAGCUUAUCUCAGGCUCAGGCCUGCCAUCUCCCUCAGAAGAGCCACAGCUGUGCAGGAGCCAUGAGUCAUUGGAGAAGGCUCCCCUCCCAGCGGCACCCAGAGCAAGGGACACCCACGACACACCAGCUCUGCCUUGCAGAGCCACUUGCUGAGCUACAUCCUAUGUGAACAUGCAAGACAAGUCCUUAUGGGCACACACAAAGAUUAAGGCCUGUGAACACUUCAGCUUACAAAUAUAACAAUGUCUCUUUCAAUACACACCUUUCCCUGCCUAUUCAACAGUACAAGACACACAGCACUAGCACUACUGCUCCAGACAAAGCUCCAGGCAACCACCAGCAUUUCCUGCUGCACGCCCUCCAAGCCAGCUCAGUCAAGGGACCAGUCAACCAAUCUGUCUGGCCCGACCUGUCAUUUCUAUAGCUAAUGGAAUUGGAGAGGAAGUAGCAACCACAUGGAUUUUCCACCAGAGUCCAGCAUUUUGAGAGCCUUAAUGCAAGUUUCCAGCACAUGUAACAUCACAAAGGGGAGCACUUCUUCCAGCUACUCCCCUUCCAUGCUGGGUGCAAGCCUUUGUAUACCAACUUCUUCUCUGCUGCAGCCCAGAGAAACGGACAGCAGGUUCAAAGAUAUUCCUGAGGGGACCAAACAAGCUUCCACUCCAACACUCCUUUUAAAGCCUCCACCUGCAAGUCCUGCUCCUCAGAAGUACUUGAGUGUAGCUGCUGGAAAUCACUGCAGAGACUGCUUCAUACCACCCUUGAAAAUGAAAAGAAAUCCCAAUGAAACACUACUGUGAGCCCUUUUGAAAGCUAGCUGUUGUGACUCGCUGCAGAAGACCCUGCAAAGGAAGAGCUGCAGACAGGAAGCCUGGGGCACAUGCCAAAGGAUAAACUUCUGCUUUCAGACAGGUAUGUGACUAGGCAAAAAAAACUCUACAAAAGCACUUCUUGCCUCAUUAACACUUGCAGGUCAAAGAAAAGCAGAAAUCGGAGCCUACAAAUCAGACCAUGCUGUGCUAGGUGCUGUAUAAACACUGAGAGAAAAAAAAAAAAAAAAAAAAAAAGAAAAACCAAACCAAAACCACUGGAUAUCACGUGGAGAGAAACCACCUCUUUAAUCUGAGCGAUCACUGGUCCCAGAGAUCUUACUUUCACAGCAGGUUCUUGCUAUAUCACACCCAAAGAAAUACAGAGCUCUUUGGUCUACUGCAAACAUGCAAUAAAAUCUGCACCACGCCUGUUCUUAAUGCUUUCUUUGUUCACUACAGUUCAUUACUCAGUACAGUUCAGAAGAUUGAAAAGGAAAUUAAAAGGUCACUCAGAUACAUGAGCUAUUUCUGUCCCAAAUAUGCCAAUAAUUUGACUCAGUAGCAAGAAUCAAAGAGCAAAACUUCUUGAAAACAUGAUUUCCCUCAAGUUCUUGUCUGUAAAUAUUUAAACGCCUUUAUAUUUUUGUAGCUACAGUCACUGACAUGAGCUUGAUAUUUAUUGAUUUAUAAAAUUACAUUUAUAAAAGCACUAAACACUAAAACUUUCUUUGCCAAUGGCUACCCUCUUCAAUUUCCAGCUCUUUUCCUUCAUUUUCAAGUCUUAACACUGCCUCGCCUCUGUUUCAUUUCUUUCCUUCCUUUGUAAGAUUUUUACCACACCUCCUUACCCUCUUGGCACACAUUCGAGCUCACGCUUGGCACGCCAGAAAGAGCCUUCCCUCUCCCACAGUUCCUUGUGUGGUUUCCUCAGCUGAACUCAUUAACAAUGUCUCCAGGACUUCCCAUGAUUGAAAAAAAAAAUCGCCCUCGGGCAGACAGGAAUGAGUUUGCAAGGUUUUGAGGGCAGUUACUUUGUGCAUUUCGCCAAGGUCCUGUGCGGCUGCAGCAGUAGGAGCAAUGCAGGGAGGCCUGUGCGGGCACACCAGCCCUGAGCAGGCCCGCACCCCGCAGAGCUCA